CUCUGCGCUUACAGAUUAUUUCACUCUCAGGCAGUGUGUAUUAGCAGCAGGACAAAAUGGACUCAAGAUUCAGCCUCCGGGGGGGAUGGCUGCCCAAGGAUGCUUCCCUCUGCUGGACCCACAGCUCCUCUGGACGUGGCCGGCCCCAGACCCUAUCUGUCUCCUUCCUGCCUUCAGCCUCACUGGAAUCAGGUGACAGACACGGUGCAAGUUGUAGAAUCUUCCUGGUGCUUUGUCCUCACCUCUGAGCUCGGCAGGUGCUGGACGUGGACCGUGUGGUAGAAUAAGGUCCAGAAAGCGGUUUCUUUCACCGGUUCCCCACAAUGCCCAGCAAGGAGGGCCCAGGACCAGGGCUCCCAGCCAUCAGCCCCUGCAGAACAGGCCUGGAGGAUGCAGGACGCUAACAAUUCAACUCUUUCUUGGUAAACCGUUUCCACGGGGCUCACCGUGGCUCCUGAGCCACAGGGUUUAGCAGCUGGGGUGUUGGGGGGAAGGGAGGGCG